GGGACAGCUGCACGUGGCGUUUAGCGCAGGGGCUGGCGUGCAGUGUGCGCGUUUAAUCAUCAUCUUUUUAAUCAUCAUCAGUGCUGAUGCUCAGGAGCACCACUGUCACAGCAUUGCUCGCUGCUGUUUUUUUCCUCAGGUCACUACACUGGACAUUUUCCAUUGCAAAUAGACAUUCACUUUGAACUGAGAAUCCUAAUGGUACUCUGAACAGUAAAGUGCCCAGAGAAGAGAAUUUAUGUUCUAACUUUCUGAGCAGAGGAAUACCAUAUAUUAAGUUCUCGUCAAGGAUAUGUAAGUAUGUAUUAUACAUGGGACUUCCGGAGAGAAGGCUAUUUGAAGGUAAGUGAUACCCUGUUCCUUUUUACAUCAUAGUCUCCCUUUUUUCUUUCACCUUUUUUACCUUUUGUCCACCCUCUUCUGUCCUACUCCUUGGAAUUUAGAUGUGAUAUAUGGAAGACUAGUAGCCCAUUUUAGAUCAUCAGGGAACUUUAAGGAUGGAGACCAUGUGCUAAGCUGGCAAAGCAGAUAAGAGGAGUCUGGGUUAUUUGUGAUUAUGAAACUGUCUCUACAUAGAUGACUUCCUACUUCUGAACUGCUUUCACGUAAGAAGAAAAAUAAACUAUUCAACAUCAAAAGGAAGAAGUGCACCUCCCUGGUGGCGCAAUGUGUUAAGACGCAACCUGUGAAGCUGUGAAACUGUCCGCAGACACUGCAGCAUGAGUUCGAUCCCCAGCCAGGGAGCUACCCACAUGGCACAGCACACCUCUCCUGACUCACCCACUGCUCCCCUCAGCAGUGUAUUUCAGUAGAUCUGCCUGUUCUGUUCCCCACUCUGUCUCUGGUGGGUCCUCUCACCUCCCAUAUCUCUGGCCUGUACCCCAGUUCUUGUAUGCAUAA